UACGAAGGGGGGCUAGCGUUGUUCGGAAUUACUGGGCGUAAAGCGCGCGCAGGCGGUCUUCCAAGUCAGUGGUGAAAGCCCGGAGCUCAACUCCGGAACUGCCCAUUGAAACUGUGAGACUUGAGGAUGAGAGAGGUGAGUGGAAUUCCCCAGUGUAGAGGUGAAAUUCGUAGAUAUUGGGAAGAACACCGGUGGCGAAGGCGGCUCACUGGCUCAUUUCUGACGCGUCAGGCGCGACAGCGUGGGGAU
rnacentral:rRNA from 1 species